rnacentral:rRNA from 1 species
GACGAAUGCUGGCGGCGUGCUUAACACAUGCAAGUCGAACGGUGAACAGGAGCUUGCUCCUGGGAUCAGUGGCGAACGGGUGAGUAACACGUGGGCAACCUGCCCCUCACUCUGGGAUAACUCCGGGAAACCGGGACUAAUACCGGAUACGACCUGGAGCGACAUCUCUCCAGGUGGAAAGAACUUCGGUGAGGGAUGGGCCCGCGGCCUAUCAGCUAGUUGGUGGGGUAACGGCCUACCAAGGCGACGACGGGUAGCCGGCCUGAGAGGGCGAACGGCCACACUGGGACUGAGACACGGCCCAGACUCCUACGGGAGGCAGCAGUGGGGAAUAUUGCGCAAGGGGCGAAAGCCUGACGCAGCGACGCCGCGUGAGGGACGACGGCCUUCGGGUUGUAAACCUCUUUCAGCAGGGACGAAGCGAAAGUGACGGUACCUGCAGAAGAAGCACCGGCUAACUACGUGCCAGCCGCCGCAGUAACAC